GUCGAAUGUGUGCCUUGCAUAUCUAGCCCACACCACCAUACACAUACAUUUGAGCCGUUUCCGCUGCUAAAAAAAGGAAAAACUAAGAAGGCUUUUUUUUUUAUGAAUAAGCCCUCCCUCAGUGCAGGACUUUGGUGGGCUAGAUGACAUUUUUUCUCACCCAAGAGUCUUCUUCCCGCACACACGCAGUAGAGUGUGGUGCACAGCUUUAGGGGAAAAAGAAUUAAAAAUAUAAAGAAAAAAAAAACAAAAAAUAAAGCCGCCAGUCAGCGGUUCUCUCUCUUGACUCUCUUUCUCCGUGUAUUCGUUCCCACCCACUUGGCGUGUGUGUUGUGUUGUCCGAACUGUCAGUAGUGUAUUCGGUGUCUUUUCAUUUUAAAAACAAGACCAGCAAAUUGUCGUGUCCCGUAGUUUCUGCCAAUGUUGUCAACGUCUAGUGCCGAUUCGAUCAAAAACAAGAAGUGAAGUUUGCAGUCUUGUUCUAGAAAGCUGAUACGCGUAGAUAAAGCAAAGGCCAUUUAUCUGCUCUGAGUCAAUGGGUUUGGCAGAAAGGGAGAAGUCUCAGUCCGCAGUGCGUCUACUCAACAACAACCUAGUAGUGCCUGUGAGUCCCUUCAAUUCCACGAGUGCCAGUCAACCAGCAAAGGCACAUGGAUUCUCUACACAUCUCAUCGUUGGUUGAAUGGUGCUACACUGGUUGUUGUCCUGGUCAGCCUGAUUCCUGUCGGUGUCUCUAAUUGUGACUGCGAUUUCCCUCUGGUACAAGUGCCUCAAGCAUUGCGACACCUGCAGGUUGGGAUUUGUGACAGCUUUGUCCACACCCAAUUACUAGCUGUACAGUGACACGUGCGUGUGGGGCUUGUUUCCUCGUGCGUCGCCAGUUCG